CCCUUAGAUGUUCUGGGCCGCACGCGCGCUACACUGACGAUGGCAACGAGUUUUUCCUUCGCCGAAAGGUGUGGGUAAUCUUUUGAAACAUCGUCGUGCUGGGGAUAGAUCAUUGCAAUUUUUGAUCUUGAACGAGGAAUUCCUAGUAAGCGCGAGUCAUCAGCUCGCGUUGAUUACGUCCCUGCCCUUUGUACACACCGCCCGUCGCUACUACCGAUUGAAUGGUUUAGUGAGGACUCCUGAUUGGCGCCGCCGCCCCGGCAACGGAGCAGCGGACUUCCGAAAAGUUGUUCAAACUUGAUCAUUUAGAGGAAGUAAAAGUCGUAACA
rnacentral:rRNA from 1 species